rnacentral:rRNA from 1 species
GACGAACGCUGGCGGCGUGCUUAACACAUGCAAGUCGAACGGAAAGGCGCUGCUUUUGUGGGGCGCUCGAGUGGCGAACGGGUGAGUAACACGUGAGUAACCUGCCCUUGACUUUGGGAUAACUUCAGGAAACUGGGGCUAAUACCGGAUAGGAGCUCCUGAUCCAUGGUGGGGGUUGGAAAGUUUCGGCGGUUGGGGAUGGACUCGCGGCUUAUCAGCUUGUGGGUGGGGUAGUGGCUUACGAAGGCUUUGACGGGUAGCCGGCAUGGGAGGGUGACCGGCGACCAUAGGACUGCGAUAGGGCCCAGACUCGAACGGGAGGCAACAGUGGGGAAUAUGGCACAGCGGGCCGGAGCCUGAGACGGCAGCGUCGGGUGCGUGAUGACGGCCUUCGGGUUGUAAACCGCUUUCGCCUGUGACGAGGCGUUAGUGACGGUAAUGGGUAAAGAAGCACCGGCUAACUACGUG